CUUUGACGAGUCUGAACAUCGUGUAAUAAGCAUAGUUUUUCUUAUUUCUUAAUCUUUGAUCUUGAAUUUUUAAUAUUUGGUAAGAUGGACGUACACAUCAAAAUCGCUACGAUUUUAUAAAAGUACUUAAUGUAACAAAUAUAAAAUUACUUAUCCUGUCCAAUAAAAGGAGAGAAAAGGUAAAAAAAGGAUCUUUUCGGUUUGAACGGCAGUUUUUUCUAGCGGUGUCAUAUGAAAUUGUCACCCAUAAUUAUGACCCUAGUAUCGAUCUAGUGCAUUUCAAUCUGUUUUAGGGUUAGGGUUAGUUAGGGUUGGUUAGAGAUAGGGUAAAUAAACCCAAUCUGUUUCUUAAACGAGGGACAUAUUCAUACGGCACAGAAUGUUUUUCCCCUCAAUAGACGUCAGUGAUUGGUUGAAAUUGCAGAAAUUGAAGAAGAAAAAAAACAACAAAUAUUUUACAAACUAUAGAAUUUUCUCAAUAAAGCCAAGAGAAAAAGAUGUUUUAUAAACACAUUCUACCAGUAUACGAAGUUCAAAAUUUUUUAGUUACCUAGAAAUUAUGUUAAUAACUGCCGUUCAAACCGAAAAGAUCCAAAAAAAUCUUUAAAUAUCCUUACGUGCUGUGUGGUAUGAAGUUGAUUUCCCAACCACAUGGUUCUGGGUUCAGUCCCACUAUGUAGCACUUUGAGCUUCUUCUAUAGCCUCGGGACGACCAAAGUCAUGUGAGUGGAUUUGGUAGGCGGAAACUGAAAGAAGCCUGUCGUGUAUAUGUCUGUGUGUGUCUGCAUUUGUCCCCCUGCCAUUGCUUACAACCACCUGUAACUUAGCAAUUCGGCAAAACGCACCGAUAGAAUAAGUACUAGGCUUACAAAGAAUAAGUCCUUACUGUAGAGAGAACCUGUGGAAGAUGUAGACCCAGGAAGAUAGGUGAAGUGGUAAAAUAUGAUCUUUGAAUGUUGAGUCUCACAGAAGUGAUGACAAGUGACCAAGAUGCUUGGUGAUUUACUAUGGUUGAGAUGACAUGCCAAGCUAAGUGAAAUUGUAGUCAUCUCCAGUGUUGGUGACACAUGAAAGACCCCUGUGCAGGUUGUUGUUGUUGUUUAUUCCUUCUCGAGCCGUGCCUGACUCAUAUGGGCCGGUUUUUUGGUGUAUAGGUUCCCCACCUGGACGGGACGCUGGUCUGUCGCAGGUGAGCUGCAAGAUGCAGGAGGAAAGAGUGAGAGAAAGUUGUGGCGAAAGAGUCAGCAGAAGUUCACCAUUAUCUUCUGCCGGAGCUGUGUGGAGCUUAGGUGUUUCGCUCAUAAACACACACAUCGCCCGGUCUGAGAUUCGAACCCGUGAUCCCUCGACCGCGAGUCCGCUGCUCUAACCACUAGGCCAUGUGCCUCCACCUGUGCAGGUAACACAUGAAAGGCACCUGUGCUGGUGACUCACAUGAAAGUCACCCAUGCUGGAAACACAUAAAUGACAACCACUACACUCCAUGGAGUGGUUGGCGUUUGGAAGAGCAUCCAGCCAUAGAAACAAAGCCAAAAUAGACUGGAGCCUGGUGCAACUUACCAGCAUCAGUUAAACCAUCUUACCCAUGCCAGCACAGAAAAUGGAUGCUAAAUGAUGAUGAUAAUGAAGACUGCAAACAAACGACUACACUUGUAUGACAGUGAUGCUCAUUUAAAACCAUCAUGUGGAGUCAAGACAAGGGUACACAAGCACUCAUACAUACUUUAUAUGUACACACACACAAAAUGGGCUUCUUUCAGUUUACUGAAUUCACUCUCAAAAAGUUUUGGUUGGCCUAGUGAUGUUGUAGAAGAUACUUGCCCAAGGUACUGCACAGUGGGACAGCAACAUGCAACCACAUGGUUGGGAAGUAAGGUCCUUAACCCUUUAGCAUUUAAACCGGCCCAAAUAUUCUACCUGUCUUAUGUUCAAACUAGCCAGAUUUCACCUCUCACACCUACCAUGCCAUGUCAUUCUAAAUAUAAACAAUCACACCAUCGAAGUCCCAAAGCUAUGAAAUAAUGCAUGGUUAAUUGAAAGCAAUGUGAAUGCAUAACUAUUUCAUUUGGCAGAUUACUCUGAAUGCGAAAGGGUUAAACAAACAUGUGUCUAUUUAUCUCUUUACUUUUCAUUUUUAGAUCAAUCAACAAGAUGUAAGGGAAAACACAUUUACAUAUGUAGAACUUGUGAAACCUGUUAUAACAGUAAGGUUGUAGAGAUGAUACUGCAGAAUGGAGCUGAUGUUGGAAUGAAGACAACCGGUCAUGAAACACUUCCCUGUAUCAUCAGUCUGGUGGUGGAACUGUUACUGAAAUAUGGGGCUAAACUCAAUACAAAGGCUAUGACUGGUGAAGAAAUUCUACCAUCCGGCUAAUUUAAUAGAUACAUCAUUGUGAUAUUUGCUACUCAUAUAAAUGAUGGUGAUGCUGGUGGUUGUGUCACAUGGAGCAGUUUUAAAGUAAGUUACAGUUGAGCCUAAAUCUCCAUAAGUGUUUCUUUUUAUUUUUGAUCUCAAUAAUCCUUUAUCUUUUACUUGUUUCAGUCAUUUGACGGUAACCAUGCUGGGGCAUGACCUUGAAAAGUUUGAUUGAACAAAUAGACCCCUGUACUUAUUUUUAAGCUUGGUACUUAUUCUCUUAAUCACCUUUGCUUAACUGCUAAAUUAUGAGGAUGUAAACAAACCAACACUGGUUGUUAAGCAGUGGUGAGUGACAAAUACAAAGAUGCACAUACAUGUGUGUCUGUGUGUUUGCGUAUGUAUGUAUGUAUAUAUAUAUAUCUUUUAUCUUUUACUUGUUUCAUUCAUCUAAAGGAUUUUAGUUAAACAAAUCGACCCCAGUGAAACAUUGGGGUCGAUGUAAUUGACUAACCCCCUGCCCCAAAAUUUCACAUCUUGUGCUUUAGAAGAAAGAAUUAUUUGGCUUCCGUGCCAGUGGCACAUAAAAGGCACCAUUUGAGUGUGAUCGUUACCAGGAUCGCCUUACUUAUGCCCUGUGCUAGCAGGAUGCUAGGAGCACCAUCAAAGCGUGAUCAUUACCAGAGCAGCUAACUGGCUUCCAUGCCAGUGGCACGUAAAAGGCACCAAUCGAGCAUGAUCAUUACUAGCGUUGCCUUACUGGCACCUGUGCUGGUGGCAUGUGUAAAAAGAUUCAAGCAAGGUCGUUGCCAGUACAGCCUGACUGGUCACUGUGCCAGUGGUACGUAAAAGCACCCACUACACUCUCGGAGUGGUUGGCGUUAGGAAGGGCAUCCAGCUGUAGGAACUCUGCCAGAUCAAGGUUGGAGCCUGGUGCAGCCAUCUGGCUCGCCACCCCUCAGUCAAAUCGUCCAACCCAUGCUAGCAUGGAAAGCGGAUGUUAAACGAUGAUGAUGAUGAUGAUGAUUGUGAUUAAUGUUGCUACUGUGGUAUUUACUUUUUGUUAUGUCUUUUGUAGGUAUUUUCUUAAGAUUUAAAGACGUUCCCCAGGAAAACAUUAAGUAAAACCAUUCCUGCAACACAGCAGAACAGUUUCGAAAUGUUGAACAAAAGUUUCUUUAAAAGAAAAUGUAUACCUGCAAAUCUAAGAACUCAAUUAAAUAUUUACCUUUUCAAUUAAAAAGUGAUUUUCA
rnacentral:lncRNA from 1 species